ACAAGUAACGGGGGCGGACCCUGAAUUGCCAGCAACUGCAACCAAUUCUCUCCGCCCUGUCUGAUACACCCAUGUUUUUUGCGUACCACUGUUUCCUCGGCAGGCUUGCCUGCCAGUAGGACCCUUUAAACCCUUUGCAGUUGCAGUCAGCGUCAGAAAAACAUAAUAGUUA
rnacentral:misc_RNA from 1 species